UUGGGCAUAAAAGUUAAUUGUAGGUUUGGUUUCUUUUGUAAAAUUGGUGGUACAAAAGAAACCAAACCUACUUUUAAUUAUUUUAUGCCCAAUGC